UAUUCACUCAGCAAUGAAACACGUGGUCCCAAGGUGGCCAAUGAAUCAGCAGCCGGCAUGCGCAUUAAUUACCAUCAAGACCAUUUACAGCAGAUGCAUUAAUCAGUCCACUAGGUGCAUAAAUUGGGAUUACAUUAAUCAACGGUUAAUUGAUGGUUAAUCAAAGCAAAUGGAUAGGAUAUCAGAACUAACAAUCCAACACACAACGUUCCACCACCUCAAAUCAAACCCACCUCUCUCGCUGUUUCCCUCUUCCGCCGCGCCGGAGGCCGUCCUCAGCGGCGAAGGCUCUACAAAAUUCAACUGGAUAACAACAUCUCACUCGAAAUCAUGCGCUAAUCGUGGAGCCAUAAGCGGAAUUCCUCAAUUUCCCCUGGAUUGUUCGAAUUAAAGAAAGGGAACAUAUGAACCAUAGCUAGAAGAAUCAAGAUUAAACGACCAUGGAGGGGAAUCGAGCCGGCUCAUCUUGGGGGUAUGAUUCCACUCGCGGAAUCCUAUCUCCUAAUGACCUUAGAAGGCAAACCAUAAGAAAGCGAUCGGAAGACUCACCAUAAUAUCCGCCGGCGCUAGAACUCAAUGGUGUCGCCUCAAUUCGGUUCAAUGUCCGAUCCCAACCAAAUGUCAAAGGCGCGAAAUUGAAACUUAAUAUGGACUUAAGUGAAAUCGAAGAUUCACCGUUGCAGCAUCGACGACAGAACAAUGAAGAGUGAGUCGUGAUUGAAGAAUGAAACAAAAUGAAGAAUGGUGAAGAUGGAAAAAAAACUCCUCUGCAUCUAUGAAGGAUUUUCGUUCGUUUUUCUGUUGAUUUUGCAGAGAGAGUGAAAUGGAGAAGUUAAAGAUGAAGGUUGAAGCAUAUGAAGAAGGGAGCGAAGAAGAUUGAAGAAGAGGUGAAGUGAAGUGAUUGAAGAAUGAAGAAAGGAGAGUUAGGACUUGUGCACAUGACUUGGCUUGAGAACAACAUCAUCAUGGCAAGGCAUGAAAACCUUACAAGUAGUUGUUGGAGUUAUGGCCAUGCAGCCUUGUGCUUCAAAUUUAUUUUCCUUCCUCAGAAGAAGUAACAUCCAUAGGCCGGUCAGAACCAACAGUCCCUUUGUGAGCAUUCACAAGGUCCUGAAAAUCUUUGCUUGAGAUCAAAAGAUGGUGAUACGAAGCAGCUCGUAGUGUUUCUGCUGCCUUCCCUCUUUCGUCACAACUUUUACUCCCUUUUUUUUAUUUACUUGUUUUAUAGGAUGUGUAAAAAUAUUAUUCUAGAUAAUAGUUUGUAAUUUGUAUUCUAACGGAUAAUGAACAUUGGAUGUGCAAAAUGGAUAUGAAAUUUGGAUA